GGGGACAAAGUGACAGGUGGUGCAUGGUUGUCGUCAGCUCGUGUCGUGAGAUGUUGGGUUAAGUCCCGCAACGAGCGCAACCCUUAAGCUUAGUUGCCAUCAUUAAGUUGGGCACUCUAAGUUGACUGCCGGUGACAAACCGGAGGAAGGUGGGGAUGACGUCAAAUCAUCAUGCCCCUUAUGAUUUGGGCUACACACGUGCUACAAUGGACAAUACAAAGGGCAGCUAAACCGCGAGGUCAAGCAAAUCCCAUAAAGUUGUUCUCAGUUCGGAUUGUAGUCUGCAACUCGACUACAUGAAGCUGGAAUCGCUAGUAAUCGUAGAUCAGCAUGCUACGGUGAAUACGUUCCCGGGUCUUGUACACACCGCCCGUCACACCACGAGAGUUUGUAACACCCGAAGCCGGUGGAGUAACCAUUUAUGGAGCUAGCCGUCGAAGGUGGGACAAAUGAUUGGGGUGAAGUCGUAACAAGGUAGCCGUAUCGGAAGGUGCGGCUGGAUCACCUCCUUUCUA
rnacentral:rRNA from 1 species